rnacentral:rRNA from 1 species
UACCAGCUCUCCGAGUGGUGUGGAUGUUUAUUGGGCCUAAAGCAUCCGUAGCUGGCUGGACAAGUCCCCUGUUAAAUCCACCGAUUUAAUCGUUGGAGUGCGGGGGAUACUGUUCGGCUAGGGGACGGGAGAGGCAGACGGUAUUUUCGGGGUAGGGGUGAAAUCCUAUAAUCCCGGGAAGACCACCAGUGGCGAAGGCUGUCUGCUAGAACGCGCCCGACGGUGAGGGAUGAAAGCUGGGGGAGCGAACCGGAUUAGAUACCCGGGUAGUCCCAGCUGUAAACGAUGCAGACUAGGUGUUUGGGCGGCCACGUGCCGCUCUAGUGCCGCAGGGAAGCCGUUAAGCCUGCCGCCUGGGGAGUACGGCCGCAAGGCUGAAACUUAAAGGAAUUGGCGGGGAGCACCACAAGGGGUGAAGCUUGCGGUUU